ACGCUCGACACCUACGGGAGGCAGCAGUGAGGGAUAUGGUCAAUGGGGGAAACCCUGAACCAGCAACGCCGCGUGAGGGAUGACGGUCUUCGGAUUGUAAACCUCUGUCCUCUGUGAAGAUAAUGACGGUAGCAGAGGAGGAAGCUCCGGCUAACUACGUGCCAGCAGCUGCGGUAAUCUGAGCGGGCUGGCAAGGC
rnacentral:rRNA from 1 species